UCAGUCGACUCCUACGGGGAGGCAGCAGUGGGGAAUAUUGCACAAUGGGGGAAACCCUGAUGCAGCCAUGCCGCGUGUGUGAAGAAGGCCUUCGGGUUGUAAAGCACUUUCAGUAGGGAGGAAGGUAGUGUAGUUAACACCUGCAUUAUUUGACGUUACCUACAGAAGAAAGCACCGGCUAACUCCGUGCCAGCAGCCGCGGUAAUACGGAGGGUGCGAGCGUUAAUCGGAAUUACUGGGCGUAAAGCGCAUGCAGGCGGCCUGUUAAGUCAGAUGUGAAAGCCCGGGGCUUAACCUCGGAAUUGCAUUUGAAACUGGCAGGCUAGAGUCUUGUAGAGGGGGGUAGGAAUUUCAGGUGUAGCGGUAAAAUAGCGUAGAGAUCUGAAGGAAUACCAGUGGCGAAGGCGGCCCCCUGGACAAAGACUGACGCUCAGAUGCGAAAGCGUGGGGAGCAAACAGGAUUAGAUACCCUGGUAG
rnacentral:rRNA from 1 species